UGGGGAAUAUUGGACAAUGGGCGCAAGCCUGAUCCAGCCAUGCCGCGUGAGUGAUGAAGGCCCUAGGGUUGUAAAGCUCUUUCACCGGUGAAGAUAAUGACGGUAACCGGAGAAGAAGCCCCGGCUAACUUCGUGCCAGCAGGCGCGGUAAUACGAAGGGGGCUAGCGUUGUUCAGAUUUACUGGGCGUAAAGCGCACGUAGGCGGACUAUUCAGUCAGGGGUGAAAUCCCGGGGCUCAACCCCGGAACUGCCUUUGAUACUGGUAGUCUUGAGUUCGAGAGAGGUGAGUGGAAUUCCGAGUGUAGAGGUGAAAUUCGUAGAUCUUCGGAGGAACACCAGUGGCGAAGGCGGCUCACUGGCUCGAUACUGACGCUGAGGUGCGAAAGCGUGGGGAGCAAACAGG
rnacentral:rRNA from 1 species